rnacentral:rRNA from 1 species
AACGAACGCUGGCGGCGUGCCUAAUACAUGCAAGUAGGACGCAGUUGCGAACGGGUGAGUAACGCGUAGGUAACUACCUAUUAGAGGGGGAUAACUAUUGGCAACUAUAGCUAAUACCGCAUACUAGUAGAUGGACCUUCGUUGUAUUAGCUAGUAGGUAGGGUAAUGGCCUACCUAGGCAACGAUACAUAGCCGAGCUGAGAGGGUGAUCGGCCACACUGGGACGUGGGCACGGCCCAGAAUCCCUCGGGAGGCAGCAGUAGGGAAUCUUCGGCAAUGGGGGGAAACCUGACCGAGCAAAGGCGCGGGAGUGAAGAAGGGUUUCGGAUCGUAAAGCUAUGUUGUGAAGGAAGCGGUACUUAAACAGAAAGGGACGGCUAACUACGUGCCAGCAGCCGCGGUAAUUC